CACGUAGGGCGCGAGCGUUGUCCGGAAUUAUUGGGCGUAAAGAGCUCGUAGGCGGCCUGUUGCGUCCGCUGUGAAAGCCCGGGGCUUAACCCCGGGUCGGCAGUGGAUACGGGCAGGCUAGAGGUAGGUAGGGGAGAAUGGAAUUCCCGGUGUAGCGGUGAAAUGCGCAGAUAUCGGCAGGAACACCCAGGGGGAAACCAGCCGGCUGGGGACGAGCUGACGCUCAGGGGCGAAAGCGUGGGGAGCGAACCGG
rnacentral:rRNA from 1 species